rnacentral:rRNA from 1 species
AUUGAACGCUGGCGGCGUGCUUUACACAUGCAAGUCGAGCGGCAGCAUGACCUUCGGGUCGAUGGCGAGCGGCGAACGGGUGAGUAAUACAUCGGAACGUACCUUUUAGUGGGGGAUAACGCAUCGAAAGAUGUGCUAAUACCGCAUAAUCUCUGAGGAGGAAAGGCGGGGAUCACGCAAGUGACCUGUCGCUGAAAGAGCGGCCGAUGGUCGAUUAGCUAGUUGGCGGGGUAAAAGCCCACCAAGGCGAUGAUCGAUAGCGGGUCUGAGAGGACGAUCCGUCACACUGGGACUGAGACACGGCCCAGACUCCUACGGGAGGCAGCAGUAAGGAAUAUUGGUCAAUGGGCGCAAGCCUGAACCAGCCAUGCCGCGUGCAGGAAGACGGCCCUACGGGUUGUAAACUGCUUUUGUACGGAACGAAAAGGUCUGGGUUAAUACCCUGGGCUCAUGACGGUACCGUAAGAAUAAGCACCGGCUAACUACGUGCCAGCAG